rnacentral:misc_RNA from 1 species
UACAAUCAAUUUACACCNACCAGCGCCAGGGAAUUACGAGCCAUGCUUAAAACCCAAAGGACUUGACGGUUUCCCACCCCCCUAGAGGAGCCUGUUCUUUAAUCGAUGACCCCCGCUAUACCUAACCACCCCUCGCUAUCAGUCUGUAUACCUCCGUCGAAAGCUUACCAUAUGAGUGCUUCAGUAAGCCUAAUGAUUGCCGUCAACACGUNAGGUCAAGGUGCAGCUUAAGGAGUGGGAAGUGAUGGGCUACAAUUUCUAAACUAGAACAAACGAAAGACCAGAUGAAAUCCUGGUCAUGAAGGCGGAUUUAGUAGUAAAAAGAAAAUAGANUGUUCUUUUUAACAUGGCUCUGGGACGCGUACACACCGCCCGUCACCCUCUUCGACAAUAUCCCUAUCUCGUUCCUAACCCUUUUUCUCAUCUUAGAAGAGGCAAGUCGUAACAUGGUAAGUGUACUGGAAAGUGCACUUGGUACACAAAAUGUAGCUUAACAAAGCCCCCCGCUUACACCGAGAAGUUGUCUGUUAAACCCAGAUCAUUUUGAGCCUAAAAUCUAGCCCUUACAUUCAUAUGAUGCCGUCAACCCAUUGCCUUAAAUAAAACAUUUUUUUAUUCUAGUACAGGCGACAGAAAAAACUUCUAAGCGCUUCAGAUAAAGUACCGCAAGGGAAUAAUGAAAUAGAAAUGAAAUAACCUUAAAGCCCUAAAUAGCAAAGAUAUCCCCUUGUACCUUUUGCAUCAUGGUCUAGCUAGUCUACCCAAGCAAAAUGAAACUUUCAGUUUGACACCCCGAAACUAAGCGAGCUACUUCAAAACAGCCCUAAGAGCUAAUCCGUNUCUGUUGCAAAAGAGUGGAAAGAUUUUCAAGUAGAAGUGAAAAGCCUACCGAGCUUAGAGAUAGCUGGUUGUUCAGGAAAAGAGUUUUAGCUCUACCUUAAGCUUCUCAAUUACACCAAAAACCCUCCCAAACUUAAGAGCCAUUCAAAUAAGGCACAGCUUAUUUGAAAUAGGGCACAACCUCUAACACCGGGUAAAUAAGGGUAACUUAAACAAAGUAGGCCUAAGAGCAGCCACCUUCAAAAAAGCGUUAAAGCUUAUUUAUAAUCACCCACAAUUUCCUAAAUCCUCAUUAACCCUUCACCACUACUGAACUAUUUUAUAUAUUUAUAAAAGCUAUAAUGCUAGAACUAGUAACAAGAAAUAGCCCUUCUCCAAAAUGUAAGCUUACACCAAAAUGGACAAUCCAUUGGUAAUUAACGCAAAUGUUAUAGCCACAGCAACACACCUCUAGAAAACCCUGUGACCUCCUACGUUACCCUUACACUAGAACAUCUCAGGAAAGAUUAAAAGAGAAAGAAGGAACUCGGCAAAUCCUCAGCCCCGCCUGUUUACCAAAAACAUCGCCUCUUGACCAAGUAUAAGAGGUCCAGCCUGCCCAGUGACAAAAUUCAACGGCCGCGGUACCCUAACCGUGCGAAGGUAGCAUAAUCACUUGUUCUCUAAAUAGGGACUAGUAUCAACGGCAUCACGAGGGCUGAACUGUCUCCUUUCUCCAAUCAGUGAAACUGAUCUCCCCGUGAAGAAGCGGGGAUUAUUAUAUAAGACGAGAAGACCCCAUGGAGCUUUAAACUCAUCACUCACUUCCUCACCUCCAUGCCCGACCAUAUAAGGAAUCUGUGUGAUAGUUUUGGGUUGGGGGGACCACGGAGUACAAUUUAACCUCCAUGACAAAUGGGCUAACGCCCUUAUCUACGAACUACAACUCUAAGAAUCAUAAACUGAUGUUUGAUGACCCGACAAUUCGAUCAACGAACCAAGUUACCCUGGGGAUAACAGCGCAAUCUACUUUAAGAGCCCCUAUCGACAAGUAGGUUUACGACCUCGAUGUUGGAUCAGGGUAUCCUAGGGGUGCAGCCGCUCCUAACGGUUCGU